UGGGGAAUCUUGCACAAUGGGGGAAACCCUGAUGCAGCGACGCCGCGUGAACGAUGAAGCCCUUCGGGGUGUAAAGUUCCUUCGACAGGAACGAUAAUGACGGUACCUGGAGAAGAAGCUGCGGCUAACUACGUGCCAGCAGCCGCGGUAAUACGUAGGCAGCGAGCGUUGUUCGGAGUUACUGGGCGUAAAGAGUGCGUAGGCGGCGAGCCAAGUUUGGUGUGAAAUCUCCCGGCUUAACCGGGAGGGUGCGCCGAAAACUGGUUGGCUGGAGUAUGGGAGAGGAAAGCGGAAUUCCUGGUGUAGCGGUGAAAUGCGUAGAUAUCAGGAGGAACACCUGCGGUGUAGACAGCUUUCUGGACCAAAACUGACGCUGAGGCACGAAAGCGUGGGUAGCAAACA
rnacentral:rRNA from 1 species